GUCUCAUUAGCUAGUUGGUAGGGUAAUGGCCUACCAAGGCGACGAUGGGUAGCCGGCCUGAGAGGGUGAGCGGCCACACUGGGACUGAGAUACGGCCCAGACUCCUACGGGAGGCAGCAGUGAGGAAUAUUGCGCAAUGGCCGAAAGGUUGACGCAGCGACGCCGCGUGAGGGAUGAAGCUUUUAGGAGUGUAAACCUCUGUUAGGAGGGAAGAAUAAUGGCAAUUCGAACAGGGUUGUCAGAUGACGGUACCUCCAGAGGAAGCCCCGGCUAACUCCGUGCCAGCAGCCGCGGUAAUACGGGGGGGGCUAGCGUUGUCCGGAAUUACUGGGCGUAAAGGGCGCGUAGGCGGGAUAGCAAGUCAGUGGUGCAAACUUGAGGCUUAACUUCAAGCUUGCCAUUGAUACUGUUAUUCUUGAGUUCGGCAGAGGGAAGUGGAAUUCCUGGUGUAGCGGUGAAAUGCGUAGAUAUCAGGAAGAACACCGGUGGCGAAGGCGGCUUCCUGGUCCGAUACUGACGCUGAGGCGCGAAAGCGUGGGGAGCGAACAGGAUUAGAUACCCUGGUAGUCCACGCUGUAAACGAUGGGUACUAGGUGUUGGUUGUAAUGAUCAGCGCCGGAGCAAACGCAUUAAGUACCCCGCCUGGGGAAUACGGUCGCAAGACUGAAACUCAAAGGAAUUGACGGGGGCCCGCACAAGCGGUGGAGCAUGUGGUUUAAUUCGAUGCAACGCGAAGAACCUUACCUGGGCUUGAACUGCAGGUGCUAUCUCCUGAAAGGGAGUUUCCUUCGGGACGCCUGUAGAGGUGCUGCAUGGCUGUCGUCAGCUCGUGCUGUGAGGUGUUGGGUUAAGUCCCGCAACGAGCGCAACCCCUGUCCCUAGUUGCCAUCAGGUCAAGCUGGGAACUCUAGGGGGACUGCCCCGGAUAACGGGGAGGAAGGUGGGGAUGACGUCAAGUCAUCAUGGCCCUUACGUCCAGGGCUACACACGUGCUACAAUGGCCGGUACAACGGGUAGCGAGACAGUGAUGUGGAGCAAAUCCCUUAAAACCGGUCUCAGUUCAGAUUGCAGUCUGCAACCCGACUGCAUGAAGUUGGAAUCGCUAGUAAUCGCGGAUCAG
rnacentral:rRNA from 1 species